rnacentral:rRNA from 1 species
GUUUGAUCCUGGCUCAGGACGAACGCUGGCGGCGUGCUUAACACAUGCAAGUCGAGCGAUGAAACUUUAACAGAACCCUUCGGGGCGAAGAUAAAGUGGAUUAGCGGCGGACGGGUGAGUAACACGUGAGUAACCUGCCUUAGACAUUGGGAUAGCCUCGGGAAACCGGGAUUAAUACCAAAUAAAAUCAUAAUGACACAUGUCAUAACGAUCAAAACUCCGGUGGUCUAAGAUGGACUCGCGUCCCAUUAGCUAGUUGGUAGAGUAAAAGCCUACCAAGGCGACGAUGGGUAGCCGGCCUGAGAGGGUGAACGGCCACAUUGGAACUGAGAAACGGUCCAAACUCCUACGGGAGGCAGCAGUGGGGAAUAUUGCACAAUGGAGGGAACUCUGAUGCAGCGACGCCGCGUGAACGAAGAAGGCUUUCGAGUCGUAAAGUUCUUUUAUAUGGGAAGAUAAUGACGGUACCAUAAGAAAAAGCCCCGGCUAACUACGUGCCAGCAGCCGCGGUAAUACGUAGGGGGCUAGCGUUGUCCGGAAUCACUGGGCGUAAAGGGUUCGCAGGCGGAAAUGCAAGUCAGAUGUAAAAGGCAGUAGCUUAACUACUGUAAGCAUUUGAAACUGCAUAUCUUGAGAAGAGUAGAGGUAAGUGGAAUUUUUAGUGUAGCGGUGAAAUGCGUAGAUAUUAAAAAGAAUACCGGUGGCGAAGGCGACUUACUGGGCUCAUUCUGACGCUGAGGAACGAAAGCGUGGGUAGCAAACAGGAUUAGAUACCCUGGUAGUCCACGCUGUAAACGAUGAGUGCUAGGUGUCGGCGAAUGUCGGUGCCGCAGUUAACACAAUAAGCACUCCGCCUGGGGAGUACGUGCGCAAGCAUGAAACUCAAAGGAAUUGACGGGGACCCGCACAAGCAGCGGAGCAUGUGGUUUAAUUCGAAGCAACGCGAAGAACCUUACCAGGGCUUGACAUACUGAGGACGUACUUAGAGAUAAGUAUACUUCUUCGGAAGCCUCAAUACAGGUGGUGCAUGGUUGUCGUCAGCUCGUGUCGUGAGAUGUUGGGUUAAGUCCC